CAAGGUGUAGUGAAUUAGGUGGAAAGAAAUGGGCUACAUUUUCUAAACUAGAAAAUACGAAAAAUAUUAUGAAAAACUAUUUAAAGGUGGAUUUAGCAGUAAAAAGAAAACAGAGUGUUCUUUUUAAAUAGGCCCUAGAGCGCGCACACACCGCCCGUCACCCUCCUCAAAAACCCAAAUAAUUAUAUAAUAAAAGAAAAUAAAAGAAGAGGUAAGUCGUAACAUGGUAAGUUUACCGGAAGGUGUACUUGGAUAAU
rnacentral:rRNA from 1 species